rnacentral:misc_RNA from 1 species
AACGCACAUUGCGCCCUUUGGUAUUCCGAAGGGCAUGCCUGUUCGAGCGUCAUUAUAACCACUCAAGCCUUCGCUUGGUCUUGGGGCACGCGGUCCCGCGGCUCCUAAAAUCAGUGGCGGUGCCUGUCGGCUCUACGCGUAGUAAUACUCCUCGCGAUUGAGUCCGGUGGGCCACCUGCCAGCAACCCCCAAAUUUUUACAGGUUGACCUCGGAUCAGGUAGGGAUACCCGCUGAACUUAA